CACUACGGGCAUGCCAACCUGAAGAAGCCUGAUCCCAUCUGAUCUCGGAAGCUAAGCAGGGUCGGGCCCGGUUAGUACUUGAAUGGGAGACCACCUAGGAAGACCAGGUGCUGUAGGCA
rnacentral:rRNA from 1 species